UAUAUAUAUAUAUAAAUUUUUUUCUUCUCUCAAAUUGUCUUCUCUGCUUAUAAUGGAAGGAAAAUUUAUUCCCUUAAGACCCUCUUUGCAGUGAUUGAGAAGGACAAAGUGGUAUUUGCUGAUAUUUAGGAUUUGUGCUGCCUUUCUUUAUAUAGUGUAGAUAAUGGAGUUGGUGUUCGUGUCAGCAUAGCUCAAUUAACUAUGUGAGAACAGAUUUUUAACCAAGUAGAUUUUCUGCAAAGCAAUUAUUUAAAGAGUCAUUUUCUUUUAUUUUUAAGUGAAUAAUUCCUACAAUUGCAGUAGUUUUACUCAAGUCAGUGUGUUUUGUACUCCACUGCUUCUGCCAUGUUGGUUGGACUCCAGAAGAGAUGAGCACAGUGAGUGCACCAGCUUUUACACUCAGGAACUUGUGUUGUCUUGUGAUUUUUGGUAUUUAAUCCAGUGCUUGACUUGUGACCUUGAAUUCAGCGUUACCCCUUGUGAAAGGUUUGCUUUGGUAUAUUUCUGUGAAUGUGUUUACAUAGUUGGAGGGAUCACUUGGAGUGUCUGGUGUGGUUAUUAGAAACUGUAUUUUGUGGUUUGUAGGGGAGUUGGAGAAGUAAGUUGACUUUUGUUCCUUCUCUGUUGGUGUAGGAGAAGUUGUGAACAUUAGGAAGUAGAGGUUUGUUUUGUCUUGGUCUGGGUUAUCCCCAAAGAUUUUCCAUGGUCACUUUUAUUUAUUUAUCCCCCCCCCCCCCCCCCCCCAUUUAUUGUAAAUACCAUAUAUAAUUUGUCAUAAAAUUGCCUUUAGUGGUUUUUAUACACAUUCAUAAGAAAUACACAAGUAGUUAUAUCAUACACUUUCAGUCAAACUGUCAAGUUAGUGUGUGUGUGUGCUGAUUUAUGGCCCCUGUCCUUCCCUGGCCGACAUUUCUGCAGGUAAACUAAUUUAUGACCAAGGGUGGGGGUAACCCUAUCGAGUGUAUCAGGGGGUCAAUCUGGCUCCUUUGUGGCUGGGGCUGUGAUGGUGAGGGGUGUGUGGGGGGGGAUAGUCCCCCUCCCAACAAAGGUGUUUAUGUUAAUGAGUCUGUUUUUUUUUUUUGGGGGGGGUGAAAUACAUCUGAAAAGCGUACCAAUGGUUAAUAUUGGGCAUGUGUUUGAUUAUUUCGUUUGUGUAAACACAUUGUUAGAAAAGCAUGAUGUUUUGAAUGUGUACAUAUGAGUAGAAUAUUUGUUUGUGAAAUAAAUGACAACAAAUGUUGAUUACAUUUUAGGGGGCCCGGUUUUGCUUUUGAAUAAAAAGUUUAGGCGGUAAAGCGUUUUUUAAAAAAGAAUCUGUUUAAAGAAUCGCACAUAUUACAUAACUUCUAAACAGAAACCUUUAGGAGGUAAAAAAAAAAAAAAAGAUUAAGAGAGUUGUUUAAAAAGAAAUCCGUAUUACUUGUCUUCCAAAAAAAAAACCCCACACAAAACCUUUAGGAUGUAAAAAUGGUUAAGAGCUGUUUAAAAAGAAUAGCACGUAUUACAUGACUUCUAAACAAAGAUCCUUAUGAGGGCGUUACCAACUCCCGAGAACCUCUCUCAAGACCGCCCUCAUGCUGCGACGAUUAAAACGGGGUGGCCUGUGUUACAGUGAACACGUAUUACAAAGAUGCAUCAAGAUUCUGCAUAUGCCUGCUACAGCACCAACCCAGAAACAGCGCCGGCUCUGCCUGACGACAACGCAACAACCCUAGAAUCCCCGCCUCAAACAUAUGACACCAGGUGGCUAGAUAAUUUCUGCAAGGAAUUAGGAUAUCACAACCUAAGUUUCCUCACAACUCCGUACGGAAUCAGUGGCUCUUUAACUGGCGCCUCUGCCUACAUUGGUAUUGAUGACACAGAUGACUCUAUUCACUCUGACGCAUU
ensembl:lncRNA